rnacentral:lncRNA from 1 species
CUGGACCUCCAGACGCUCCUAUCAAGGGUCAUGUCCUCGGAAACUUGCAUUCUAAUCAUGUCCUGCCUAAUCACCUCUGCCCAAUACUUCUUAGGCCUGCCUCUACCUCGCCGACCGCCAACAAUCUCCGGCCUCUCGCAGCUCCUUACCGGGGCAUCCGUGCCCCUCCUCCGAACGUGUCCGAACUACCUCAGUCUCGCUUCUCGCAUCUUCUCAUCCAUUGUGGCCACCCCUACCUUCUCUCUGAUAACUUCGUUCUUAAUCCUAUCUAGUCUGGUGUGCCCGCANNNN